rnacentral:rRNA from 1 species
GACGAACGCUGGCGGCGUGCUUAACACAUGCAAGUCGAGCGGAAAGGCCCUUUCGGGGGUACUCAAGCGGCGAACGGGUGAGUAACACGUGAGUAACCUGCCCUUGACUUUGGGAUAACCCCGGGAAACCGGGGCUAAUACCGGGUAUGACCCUGCCGGGCAUCUGGUGGGGUGGAAAGCUUUUGCGGUCAGGGAUGGGCUCGCGGCCUAUCAGCUUGUUGGUGGGGUGAUGGCCUACCAAGGGGAUGACGGGUAGCCGGCCUGAGAGGGCGACCGGCCACACUGGGACUGAGACACGGCCCAGACUCCUACGGGAGGCAGCAGUGGGGAAUAUUGCACAAUGGGCGGAAGCCUGAUGCAGCGACGCCGCGUGAGGGAUGACGGCCUUCGGGUUGUAAACCUCUUUCGACAGGGACGAAGCGUGAGUGACGGUACCUGGAGAAGAAGCGCCGGCCAACUACGUGCCAGCAGCCGCGGUAACAC